UGCUCCUAAGCCUAGGGUGGAGCGGACUACAAUGAUGGAUUAUCUAUUCACGGGAAUAAUUCAAUCAAUAAAAAUAAAAUAUUUAAUAAAUAACCCUAGCCUAGACUCCUAGAAUUCUGUCUAAGAAUUUCGACUCGAAAAAAUUCUACUGAAAAUUCGGCAGAACCUUUCUUAAAAUAUGGACGUUUACCCCCGUAUAACGGGUCUAGAACCUGCCAUAAACACUUCUAAUAUUCAUCAAUUAUUUACCAGGAGUCAGGCCACCAAAGCUGCAUUAUUUUUCCCGACUUUGUAACACAACACAACUAAAUAAAAGGUCUUAUAUAAAAUUAUCAUAUUGCUCAAUUUCGAUAGCAUAUAUUUUUAAUUUUCAAAAGAUACUUACACAUGUACCUUAAAUUAUUUUUCUCCAAUAAAUAACCAAUAUAAUUUUUAAAUUAACAAUUUCUAAAAUCAACAUGCUAAAGAAUUACCGAUACGCUUGAUAAAUCGGUUGACUCGCCUUCAGCCGCCACCGGAGUCUGAUUGACAAUCCAAGCGCGCCUACGGACUCAAAACAACAUGUAGACGAUGAUUCUAGCAUCUAAUCUCCGAUCCAUCCUUGAUCAUUCUAAUACAUCACAAACGGUUUGAAUCGUUGAUUUUCGAAUGGAGUCCGAUAAUUGCAAGAUUUGUGCCAUUGGAAAUGACAAGGGGAGUUCAUCCAUGAACUUUGAUCAGCCAAACCUUGCUGGAAGUUGCCGAAAAUCAAGAAAAAAUCCAAAUUGUCCCUAUGAGCUUAUCUCGCCGGAUUUCAAUAUUUCGGCUUAAGGGAUGAAGAUGACCGAAAAAUGAAAGCCCACGAACUGCUGGUCGUUUUGAGACCAUAAACACCAAAAAUGGACGCCGGAAUCACCCUGCACGGCAGUAAGAAGCUGUUGUCGUCUUCCUCAUUUUUCGCUGCCCCUUGCCGCUCGCAGCUAUUGCCGUCACUGCUGCUGCACUCGCCGGCGCCUCCUCUGUCUUCGGUCAACUUCACCGCACCUCAGACAAGCUCACCUCUCAUUUGCCAUUAAUGGGCGUUCCCAAGCUCCCUUUCUCCUCCUCCUUUUUCUUUCUUUUUUCUUUUCUUUCUUUCUUUAAGC
rnacentral:lncRNA from 1 species